ensembl:processed_transcript
CCAACAUUCAACAUGUUUGGUUACCAUGGUAUUGGAGGACUCCGCGCACGCGGCCACGCGCAGCGCUUCACUUCACUUAAUUACGAACACCUGACCUGCAGCAGAAUUCAGAGAGACGCACUAACUUGCACAGCAUUGAAUGGAAAAGGCUUUGUCCAUGUCCAGUUGAGGGGCAUCAAGAACACGCAGAUGGCCUAAACCUGUGUCAGCCUGGACAGACUGCAGUUCUGCUACUCCAUGCCAAGGCUUUUGUAUGGAUGUCUUGACUGCUACUGUGUUCUCUAAAGGUUUUCUGGAAGCUCCAUUUGAGGGCAUCAAGGACAUACUGAUGGCCUAAACCAGUGUCAGCCUAGACAGACAGACAUCUAUUGCAGUUCUGCUACACAAGACCAAACUCUCUGCUUUUGUAUGGAUGUCUGACUAGUACGGUGUUCUCUAAAGGUGUAACUGGAGCAAAACAACAGCACCCGUUACAGUGAAAUUUGUGUUCAUAAAAGAUAGUGAUAUAUCAGGUAUAGUAACAGGUCCAGUACAUUUGUCAUAAAGGUUAAAUCACAGUAAGUACUGUAAAAAUAACUUGUUUGCCUUUGCCACAACAGGUCAUGGUGUGUGCAUACUGCUCGUAGUAAACACACGCUGAUCUGAUGCGGGAGAGAUAUAUGCAAACACAUUUGUAUUUACUGUUUUGUUUUGCCUCACUAAAGUGUUGUUGGAGCUUGGUAUGUUCACAGUUGAAAUCACUGAAGUCACAUGGAACGUUUUGACAAUGUGUUUUGUGCCUUAUCUUGACAAUGACCAUC